UUCGGAUUACAAAAGAGAACCUGGAAAUUAUUCAAAAUAUCGACUUUUAUAUUUCUUAGUCAGAUUUCGCUAAACUAUUGUAUUGAAUUUACACAAUUCGCUUCACGUAACUAUUAUUUAAACUUCUUAUACACAGGACUAUGAGUACCUCCUACCCUACAAAAGGGAGCGAAAAUAAUUGAGCUAACCCACUGAUGAUUGUACACUAACUUUUUACACAAUGCUCUUAAAGUCUACUUUACAGGUCAUGAAGGUGCUUUAGCCUUCGACGGAAUAGCUUGAAGCCGUAAUAUCCGAAACUGAACGUGUGACAUUCAGUUGCUUCGCGAUGAAACCUAUUCAUACAUAACACAGAACGAGGAUUAGAUUUACUUGUAACUACUUGUUUAAUUUUUGAAAUUGUUUCUUUUCUCGAUUUGUACAUCAACACAAACUCAACAAGG